rnacentral:rRNA from 1 species
CGCCAACACUGGGACUGAGAUACUGCCCAAACUCCUACGGGAGGCUGCAGUCGAGGAUCUUUCGCAAUGGGCGCAAGCCUGACGAAGCAACGCUGCGUGAGCGAUGAAGGCCUUCGGGUCGUAAAGCUCUUUCGCGCAAGAACAAGGGAAUG